GCCGGGGGGGGCUAUCGUUGCUCGGAAUCACUGGGCGUAAAGGGCGCGUAGGCGGCGUUUUAAGUCGGGGGUGAAAGCCUGUGGCUCAACCACAGAAUGGCCUUCGAUACUGGGACGCUUGAGUAUGGUAGAGGUUGGUGGAACUGCGAGUGUAGAGGUGAAAUUCGUAGAUAUUCGCAAGAACACCGGUGGCGAAGGCGGCCAACUGGACCAUCACUGACGCUGAGGCGCGAAAGCGUGGGGAGCAAACAGG
rnacentral:rRNA from 1 species